GACCCGCACAAGCGGUGGAGCAUGUGGUUUAAUUCGAAGAUACGCGAAAAACCUUACCUGGCCUUGAUAUCCCAAGAAUCCUGUAGAGAUACGGGAGUGCUUGCUUGCAAGAACUUGGUGACAGGUGCUGCACGGCUGUCGUCAGCUCGUGUCGUGAGAUGUUGGGUUAAGUCCCGCAACGAGCGCAACCCUCGUGUUUAGUUGCUAACAGUUCGGCUGAGCACUCUAAACAGACUGCCUUCGUAAGGAGGAGGAAGGUGAGGACGACGUCAAGUCAUCAUGGCCCUUAUGGCCAGGGCUACACACGUGCUACAAUGGGUAGGACAAUGAGAUGCAAUACCGUGAGGUGGAGCAAAUCUAUAAACCUACUCUCAGUUCGGAUUGUUCUCUGCAACUCGAGAACAUGAAGCUGGAAUCGCUAGUAAUCGUAGAUCAGCAUUGCUACGGUGAAUACGUUCCCGGGUCUUGUACUCACCGCCCGUCACACCAUGGGAGUUGAUUUCACCCGAAGCCAGGAAGCUAGAAUAGCUACUGUCCACGGUGGGAUUAGCGACUGGGGUGAAGUCGUAACAAGGUAACCAAGGGCGAA
rnacentral:rRNA from 1 species